rnacentral:lncRNA from 1 species
UUUAAGAAUCCCAUUGCAUUAACUGUAGCAUUCCAGCUAUAUGAAUGAAUGUGUCAAUGUGAGAGCUAUAUCAGAACUUUCUUAGAGUUUCUUUUCUAAUAAGUGAGUCUUGGAAAAACCAUAAAUCUUGAAGAACUUUAAGUCGAAAUUCAAGCUCAGACUAUUGAACACAACUAAAUCUGGAUGACCCCCAAAUGAUGUUCUAAUAUCUUCAACCAAAGAGAGAUAAAGGAUGAAAUAUUUCACUUGACAACUUAUCUACAUUCUAGUUGGCCUUACCAGCUAGGAAUUCAGUUCAUUUAUCUAGUUUUCUCAUUUGAGGUUUACUUUAUAAUGUCCCUUUCCUGAAUGAAUCUUACUUGGCAACCAAGACACUUGUAUGAUCAGGCCACUCAAGAUGGCUGUUCUCUUGUUCUCUGAACAUCCCCUGCCUGACCAGUGCCUGCUUCACCUACACCCUACUCAUGUGACUGACCUUCAUAAGUACUUGCCCCAGGCCCUAGCUAGCAAUAGCUUAUCAAAGGGGCAGUGUGGGGUGCACCCCUCUGCUGGUUUCCUGGUAACUAAUGAGCUCCCUAUAACUGGCAACCUCCCCACUCCACCCCACCCCUAGGAGUGAAGACUGCCAUCAUGUCCUGUCCACUGUCAGCUGCAUGGUGGCGGGGGGGGGGGUCACUCCAAGACCUCGCUUCAGAUAUGUGUAAGCUUCCUCCAUCCAUUAGACCAUUGAUGUCUCUGUUGCUGACUCUGGACUCUUUCUUUGGUCUUGGAAGUUGGGCAAGCACAGGCCUUAUAGGCCAAUGUAGUACAGCCCAACAACACUUCGCUGUCAAUCUUAGUUUGAAUUUAGUGAUCUUGGGAUCACUGGCACAGAGACCAGCCAUGAAUUCUAGCAGAAACAGAUCCCAUUAAAGGAGGUUAAUUUUAAAUACCUUUCUCUUAAACAGCACUCUGCCACUGGUAUGGGUCCUCUAUUAGAUGCCUAAGCAGGAGGUGGGGAGAAAGAAGGAGGCAGAAAAGAGAAGACCAUCUGUCUCUCAAUUCCAUAAACAAUAGGUAAGAAGACACCCAUGUAUGGGAGUUGACGCAGUUUAGUGUGAAAACGGCCUCAGUAGACUGCAGGAGAAAUUGGGUCUCAUCCUACCACCACCACUUCUUGGUUAUGUAUGUAAUCUUAGGUAAGUUUCAUCAGCUCUUGGGGUACAAAUUUUCCCAUACAAUGAACUAGGAGUCCAAAGUUUCCUUUCAGGAGAGUACUAUACAUUCUAGGCAUGGUGGUUGCUGUGCCUUUGGCUGUUUCAAAGAGAGAAUGGAUCCAUUUGCAAAGGGAGCUAAAGCUGAAGGAUCAUUAUUCAGAGAGAAGUCACCUAGGACAAGAUGGGUUCCGUGCAAGUCAGCAUUAUGAAGGAGAAGGAAAUGUGAGCAAGCAGAAGCUGUAAGCUAAGGAUUAGUAGAUGAUCAGAAAGUCCAUAAGAAGAGGGAAAUGGAACUGAGAUGGGCAUUUGUUGGUCCCACAGACUCCCAUUCGUAGGGGCUAUGUUCUCACUGGUGUUGGAGCCUUUUGCCAACUCUCUGUACAUCUCAGGGCCUAGUUGUAGAGCAUUUCCUGGUCACAAGUAUCCUUAUCCCACUGAGGUAAUCUUGAAGUAACCUUACUCAAUUGUCACCUCUUGAAACUCAAAAGAGCUCAACUAGAACUACAACAGGAGCAUGAAGUCUAUGAUUAUAUGAAGUUUUACAAGGCUAAAUGUACAAGCUGUAUGCUAGGCACAAAAAGAAUAAGAUAUACUAAUUUAAUCAUGACUUUCCAUACACCAUAACCAAUAGCUAGUUAAAACUGAAACCAAAACAGAAGCUGAACCUUCGUAUGUUCGCUCGUGUGAACAUGGACAAGAUCCCAGCACUCUGGGCUCUUUGAAUCACAUAGGGUGUGGCUGCUUCAAAUGCCAGAGGGACAGAACAUGCAAGUCUGAAUCAGCCACCAGAGGGAGUAUAAACAAAUCUACAAAUAGGCUGGGGGAGCCUUCCUUCUCACAUUGCUCCUGGGUGCUAGAAUUUCCACCAAGGAUGUUCUUUCAGCUGUUGUUCAUCCCCAGCAAACUGCAGCUAGCUGAAGACCAGCAAGGGUUCCAAACAGGGAAGUACUUGUUCAGACCUCAAAGCGUCCAAUGUCAAGUAUAUCGUGAUUGCAUAAUGUCACAGCAUGUACUGUCCAGGUAGGCGAUGGUCUCUUUCUGCACAACACAGUCAGUAUGCAUCCAAAGAACUCUGUGUUUUAAAGAUUGUUUCCCAGUUGUUUAGAACAUGGAAUGUCAUGUCCCAUAGAAAUGACAUAAGGAGUCCUUGGGUUUGCAGGCCAGCCCCCAAAUAUUACUUGACCCUUGAUCAAUCUGAACCACGGAGCCACUGCUAUGCUUCUGGAAGACUGAACAAUCAUUUAAAAUGUUGCUAACAUAAAGCACUUCAGCUCGAGGGCCAAGCACCACCUCCUCCAGGCAGUGGUUCUGGAUACCCCAUGCCCUGGAUGGAGUUGACUGUUUCCUCCUCUGUGUCCUCUCUGUCCUCACCACCACCAGGUCAUGAACAUCCUUCUUUCAUAGCAUCUACAAUACUGUAUGAAAAUCAUGUUUGCAUAGGUCUCACUGCACUCUUCCCUGAACUCAUUGCAAGAAGGGAUGUCUGUUCUUUAUCACCUGGGUGCCAGGCACAGAACAUGAACUUGUGAUAUGUUUGGUCAAAGGGCAUGGUGGUGGGAUCCCGCCACAUCCACUCUCAUCCCUGAUUUAAAGUCUCCUCCUGCCAUCACUCCAUUGCUCAUCCUUCCUCCUAUGAGGAGAGCCUGGCUCUGGAAGGUUGAGCUUGAGGCAGGGAGUAAGAAGACUCCAGAGAGUUCUACCUUAAAAGACAGGGAAGGUCUUUCUAGUCCAUAGGAAUGGCAGGAGGUGGGAGAGAGAGAAAGGGAUGGGAAGAGGGCCCUGAGCUUUUCUGCUGAUCCCCCCCCAUUGGGUCUUAUUGGGGGUGGGACACUGGGUAGUGGUCUUGACUCCCACAGACACACAACUCUGGGUCCCCGCCUUGGCUCUAUUGGAAGAGAAGGCCAAGAGUCUUGGGGGCGGGGAGGAAGGAAUAGCGUUUUCCAUGUUCAGGCAGAUCUGCUGCAUCUUUGACUCUCAGUGCUCACUGAGGAGAAUCUUAAUUUGUAAAAUAGAAAAAUCUUGUGUGUUUGGCUAUGGAAUUCACAAAAAAAACCACUGGAUUCUUGGGUGCUAUGCUUGGAUCUGCCAUUCGCCAGUUCUGAGGCCACCACCAUCUUGUCCAGCAAAUGGGCCUUUCGGAUUAUUGAUUUCAAUGUUCUGUCUUUGCAGCAAAGCUAUCUUCCCAUUUCUUUUGACUACAUUGCUACCUUAUGGAAUCUUAGAGCGAGAAAGGAUCUUUGAAAGCAUAAAGCCAAGCUUCCUCAUUUUACAGCUGAAAACCCAGGAGGUCCCAGGAGGUAAAGACAUGCGCUCAAGGUCACACAGCUAAUCAGGAGUUGUGUCAAGAGUAGAAGCAGGGUCGUCAGACCCUCAGCUUGGCACAGUUCCACCUCAUCUCCCUGCGCCCCCGAGCCAACACUCGCAGAGGGGGCCAAGGGUGUGCUGCAAGUUUGAAGGAAGUAAUUUUGAGUUUUCAAAUUAGCUGUGGAUAAGUCACACAUGGAUAGUCAGGAGCUGACUGCAGCCUGGGCUCUAACUGAGCUUUAAGUCAAUAUUAUAAGCUUGAAUAUUUAUGGGUGUUUUGGUUUGUUUCCAAAAGUGGAUGAAAGCGCCAUCCUUCCUCCUGUCACAUAAAUGGAAAACACCAGAAAGGCAGGAUUUACAGUGCUUUCCCAGCAUUUGUGCAUUUUGAUGUUGAUGUGAGUGGACUGAAAUCUGAAGGGAAACACAGAAGGCAGAGGGCACCACUGGCUUCCUGGUUGUAGGGAGUGAGGGCUGAUUAGGGGAUUCUGAGUUCGCAGAGCAAAAGGUACUGUUUGGCUGAAUGAUUCGCUCUGAAAUUUGAAAACCAUUAUGGGACAUUUUCCGGGAGUGCCUCUGAGCUCUUUGGCGGAGAGUGAUAACUUCAGGUCCCCUCUCGAGCUUGGCGGUCACCUUCCUGCCCUGGCUCUGACAUUCCGCGGCUACUGGAAAUCUGACCUCCUUCCUUUCUCCUCACUUCUAGUAGGAUUUCAGGGUUCUUUUCAAGUUAAUUAAAUUCUAUUUUUCCUUUGAUAACCUAGCAAUGCCUUUGAGAUUAUCAGAGAAGAUAAGAGCAAGGGCUUCACAGAACUCAGAGAUGGUGGCCUUGCUCUGCCGCUUACUAGCUAUGUGACGGUGGGUAAGUCACAUCCUGAAAAGCCGCAUCUCGAAAAUGGGAGUCCUGUGUGCCCCAAAAGACUUGUCUGGAGGAUUAAAUGAAGGAUGAGUAUGGAAGUGCUUUGUAAACUGUAAAGUGCCAUCCCCUAAUGCAUAGUGUCUAUAGUCCCUGUUAACUGCUGGUGGGUUCUGGGCUGUUAUUCAGCCUGGUAUGGGAAUUGCGUGACUCACCUUCGUGCUAAGAUAGGCCGAAGGAAAGGUGUCAUAGGUGAGGCUGGUCCUGACCAAUCACUUCCUUGGUGUCUCAAUUACAAGUGACAUUUAUGAGCACUUACAACGUGUCAGGCAUUCUGCUAACACCAUGCAUGGCUAACGUGGGUUGCAUUCUUCCAAUAACCCUAUGAUGACAGAAUUCCUAUUAUUCCAAUUUUACUCACAUGGAAGCUGAGGCACAGAGUGGUUAAGAAACUUGCCUCAAGUUACACAGGGGAUAUGUGUCACAGUCAGGAAAUGAAGCCAGGUGGGUCUUAGUCCAGGGUUCUAGCUGUUAACUACAGGGGAAGAUGGUGUUUUCCAAAGCCAGCUGCAACAAAAGCUCUCAUCCCACAAGUAGUUCUGCCUUAGGACCUGCCACUCCCCCAUCAGGAGGCGGAAUCGAAUUCCCCCCCCCCUUAAAUGUAGGCCAGCCUUAGUGAUGUGCAGGUGACCGGUGGAAUGUGGUGGAGCUGACGGGCCUCUGAGCCGAGGUCAGAAAGAGCCACACAGCUUCUGUCUGGAGCUGUUAGGACACUUGAUCUCUAGGCACUCUCUUACAGCAUGCUCUUUCUUGAAGCUCAGCCUCUGGGCUAUGGAAAAGCCCAGGCCACGUGGACAGGCUGUGUGGACCACCUGCCUACAGUCUCAGCCUUCCCAUCAUCCUAGCCCAGGAGCCCAACAUGUAGUAAAGAAGCUGCCAGAUGAUCCAGCCUUCUGCCAUUGAGUCUUCCCAGCUGAGGCAGAGACAAGCGACCCUGCUGUGCCCGGUCUGAAUUUCCGACCCACAGCCUCCCCGAACAUAUAAAAUGGUGGUUGUUGUUUCACUUGACUAAGUUUGGAGAGGUUUGUGGUCCAGCAAAGAUAACUGGAACAACUACUCGGCCAUUCUCCAGCAGUUCUUACUGGGCAAUGUCCCCCUCCCUCCUUGACUGAUCAGAACUCCCCACUGGGAUGUCCUGGGUGGUCCUGGCAAGAUCUACCUCUUCUCCUUCCCAUUCUUGAAAGACCCUGAACUCUCUGGACGAUGGAGAGUCUGAGAGGGUUAACUACACUCAUCCCUGCUAUGCUAUUUCCUGGUUACUUGUCAGUUUUUCGAGGUAUCAGAGGGCCUUCUUUUGCUAAUAUGCCUGUCUUCGUAAGAGAUCCCAGCAGCCAGGCUGGCCAAGAAUGAGAAAUCCUGGCCCUUUGCUGAACACAUUUCUGGACAGGGGCUUGCUCAGACCAACAGAAAGGCUGCUCUGCUCUCCCUGAUGCUGGCUCUGGUAUGAAGCAGCUCAGAGCGGCUCUGCCUUUGAAAAAGUCAAAGCAGUCAUAAGGGGAGCCACACACACACCAGGGGCUAGACCCUUCUUGGAAGGAUCCAGAUAUUUCCCAUCAUGCCUGAUCUUGUCACAUCUCCCAACUGUGCUCUCUGAGCUUCUCUUGGCCAAGGACUAGCACCCAGCUGGGAAAUCCGAGGGUAGGACGCAGAGGCAGGAAGCUGACUACCCAUUGGGGGGUGGUUGUGACCGGAGGGGAGCUCGGGCAGGAAGGGCACUUCUGAGGGCCAGACCUGUUCUGUUUCUCGAUAUGGGCGGGGCUUGCACAGUGUGUUCUUUCUGCGAUGACGCACUGAACGGUGUGCAUACUACCUGUGCGUUUCUUCUGCGUGUGUGUUACACACCAAUAACAAAAGGGGGAAAGGGGGCCGGCAACUCUGCAGUGAGGACAAAACCUAAAAUAAAUGUGGAAGGUCAAUAACAGAGGAAACGUGCUCUACUGCAGUGGUUGGAGCAGUGAAGUCCUUCAGUGAACAAGCCGUAGCUUUCAUGUUUGUGUCGCCAGUAGCAACACGGAGCCAGGCAUCCAGAAGGCAUCCAGCGCAUGUUCACUGACCACCCCCCGCCCUUAGCCUCCCCUUCCUCUUUCCUACUCCUCACCCUGACUGACAGGCAAGUCUUUCCAGAAGGCUCUUGGCUAAUAAUACCUCCACCCCACCCCCAGGGCAAGAUCUAUAUUUUCUCAUACCUGCACCCUGUCAUUGUUGAUAUCUGAGAUGACGCAGAACAGGUGAGGCGAGAACGGAUGAAGACUCUAAAAUUCCUCAGGGGAACUUUAAUCAACAUCCUUGUCUGCCUUCCAACCCUGUGAGGUGAGGACUGCUAAUAAUCCCAUUGAUAGGCAGCUAAACUGAGGCACAGAGAGGUUAAGCAACUCACCCCAAGUCACACAGCUAGUAAGUGACAGACCCUGGAUUAAACCCAGCCAUCUGGCUCCAGGGUCUGUACUUUCAAGACCUAUGGAAUCCUGUUUUUAUGGAGAUGGCAAUAACAUAUACUUGGGAGACAUUUCC